GACAAAAUAACCAUUCUGUAUAUUGGAUAUUGACAAAAUAGCCACAACAAUAUUCUGAUUUAGAAUAAUACUCCUUUUCUGCUGUAUAUUUGCAAGCUUUUGAUCAAAUAUUACGGGAGCUCAAUAGAAAUCAAAAUGAAUCUUUAUUUUACCACAAGCAUUACUGAUGCCUAUGCUUGUUUUUCUUACAAUCCAUUAGCUUUUUAUGACGCAUUUAUACUUUUUCAGUUUGUUGUUUAUUACUGAGAAGUGGCUGUCUUGCCAGAAAACUGCUGUUCUCAGCUGUAUCCACAAUGACUAAUAGUGAGUGGAAGUGCAGUGGAUAAAAGCAAAUGUGUCUUCUCUGUAUCUUUUUUCAUCCAUUGACUGAAAAACAGGAGGAUGCAGAAGAUGAAAGAAAAUACAAUCCCUGAAAGAUCAUGAAGAAGCUCUCUUAAUCAGACAAAAAACCCCAUAGGGGAUUUUUUUUUUCAUUAUUGCACUCUGCUUCUAUGAGUUUAAAUUUGUUUUACACUUUACAUAGAAAUAAACCUAGGUUUCUUAUUAGAAGAUAGACUGUGAUACUGAAAGCAAAUAUAAUGGUACAUGUUACCUGGCUGCAUUUCAAACAGGUGAUAGUAACACUACACUGAAGCACCAAAGGUGAUUCUUGUUGGCCAGGCCAGAGCUCCUUGUGAAAAAAGUUAGGCCCACUGGUAUGUCUGAAGCGUCCUAGCUGGAUGGACAGAACCCCAUGAGCUGUUUUGAUUAGACUGAAUUUAAAACACCUUGGUGCCCAGUAAUGAGGAUAUUUUCAUAUUUAGCAUAACGUGAUUUGGUGUGUGGCUUGGAUUUGAUAAAUCUUCACUGAGCUAAUGGCUGAUUGGAUUUACUUGGCCUGAAUGGAAAAUAAAAAUCACCUCUGACCU
rnacentral:sRNA from 1 species